GGGGGGGGGGGGGGGGGGGGGGGGGGGGGGGGGGGCGGGCGGGAGGGGCGGGCUGUGGUGGGGGGGUCGGGUGGCGAACGGGUGAGUGACACGUGAGUAACCUGCCCUUGACUUUGGGAUAGCUUCAGGAGACUGGGGCUAAUACCGGAUAGGAGCUCCUGCUGCAUGGUGGGGGUUGGACAGUUUCGGCGGUUGGGGAUGGACUCGCGGCUUAUCAGCUUGUUGGUGGUGUAGUGGCUUACCAAGGCUUUGACGGGUAGCCGGCCUGAGAGGGUGACCGGCCACAUUGGGACUGAGAUACGGCCCAGACUCCUACGGGAGGCAGCAGUGGGGAAUAUUGCACAAUGGGCGGAAGCCUGAUGCAGCAACGCCGCGUGCGGGAUGACGGCCUUCGGGUUGUAAACCGCUUUCGCCUGUGACGAAGCGUGAGUGACGGUAAUGGGUAAAGAAGCACCGGCUAACUACGG
rnacentral:rRNA from 1 species